rnacentral:rRNA from 1 species
AGAGUUUGAUCCUUGGCUCAGGACGAACGCUGACGGUGUGCUUUAGACAUGCAAGUCGAACGAGAAAGCCCUUCGGGGUUAGUACAGUGGCGAACGGGUGAGUAACACGUGGGCAAUCUGCCCCUCGUAGGGGGACAACCGGAGGAAACUCCGGCUAAUACCCCAUACGCUUGCGGAACCGCAUGGUUCCAUAAGGAAAGGUAGCUUCGGCCAUCCGGCGAGGGAUGAGCCCGCGGUACAUUAGCUAGUUGGUGGGGUAACGGCCCACCAAGGCGACGAUGUAUAGUUGGUCUGAGAGGAUGAUCAGCCACACUGGGACUGAGACACGGCCCAGACUCCUACGGGAGGCAGCAGUCGGGAAUCUUGCGCAAUGGGCGAAAGCCUGACGCAGCAACACCGUGUGAGCGAUGAAGGCCUUCGGGUCGUAAAGCUCUGUUGUUGGGGACGAGAGGGCGAGGGGUUAAUAGCCCUGAGCUUGACGGUACCCUUCGAGGAAGCCCCGGCUAACUACGUGCCAGCAGCCGCGGUAAUACGUAGGGGGCGGGCGUUGUCCGGAAUUAUUGGGCGUAAAGAGCGUGUAGGCGGUUCGGUAAGUCUGUCGUGAAAACCAGGGCUCAGCCCUGGGCGUGCGGUGGAUACUGCCGGGCUAGAGGGUGNAGAGGCGAGUGAAAUCCCCGUGUAGCGGUGAAAUGCGCAGAUAUCGGGAGGAACACCAGUAGCGAAGGCGGGUCGCCUGGGCCACACCCUGACGCNGAGACCCGAAAGCGUUGGGGAACCAACAGG